GUCUCGCUAAGGUAACAGCCAUAGGCCAUGGGUACAUCUGCAGAAGAACCUCCAUCACCACCACCACCGUUAGAGUGGGACCAAUCUUCAUCCGACGGAGAAGAACCAUCACCAUCAACGUCGAUAUCACCACGUGGCUUACCUGGAGAUGAUGUACCAGAUGCUACCCAGCUAUUACCAAUCGCAAGAGAUCAAUCGCCUCACUCUCGCCUACUUCACCAUUUCCGGCCUGGACAUCCUCGGUGCUCUCGAUCGAGUAGAUAAAGAUGCUGUGGCUAGUUGGGUUUUAUCCUUUCAAGCUCAC
rnacentral:misc_RNA from 1 species